rnacentral:lncRNA from 1 species
UUAAAGAAAAAUAAGAAGCUCUAACUUGCUAUUCUAAACAAAGACGCUCUAGGUAACUAAUCCAAACAAAUCUCCAAAUAAUUAAGAAGAGAGUAAAUAACAAAAAAUUUAUUUCCUCCUAAUUGAUAAAAGUCUGAAAUUAAAAGAUUAAACAAUGGAAUGUGACCAAAAUAUCGAUGGUCUUCGUUUAGAUGGUAGUCCUUGUGAGAGUGAUAUGCAUACAAAUAGGUCCAUUUUAUUACUUGUAGUAAUGAUCCGUACAUUUGUGGGAUAUAAAAUCGACAAUAAUACUCAAAUCAAAAUUGAUAAAGUUGAAUAUAUUAACUCGGUUAAUCGUUCGAAAUGGAUGAAGAAUUUUCUUUUUCUAAACAAAAAUGAGCCACCAUGUUGAACUCAUGGACCAAAGUCCUAGACCAUCGAUUUUGUGGCCCAUCAUUUAAGAUGUCAAAUUGGAACUUCCAUUAUUUAGAAAGAAAUUAAUAUUUAUUUAUUUAUUUUCUUAUAUUAAAUAUUAAAAAAAUCUUCAUAUUAAUUUUCUAUAGUAUAUCCUUCUAGAAUAGUAAGUUUAAGGCAUUUUAUUUUCCUUUAAAAACUAGAAUUAAGGUUCAUUGUACCUUGUCUUAUGUUCCCGGCUUUCCAGCAAAAAGGAAGGGGGAGGAGACCCCAACUGAGAAAAGAAAUGGAAAAGGAGAAUCAACAUUCGAAGUAUGGGACUCUUGAAAAGCAUAAACUCACUCCAAAACUCAAGAAUGACAAUUUGAACAUUGUAUCAUAAAUAGAUGCAUAGCUGGAAAUCAGUAUAAUAGAACCGAAUACUCUAAGGUAACUAUACUGGGAAAAAGUUUACUAACAGGCAUCACUGGGCUGUUCGAUUUUCUAGAAUAUUUUAUUUCCCAUUUUGCUUCUAAAUAAAAUAUUGCACAAUUUCUUCUUUCUUUCUUCAGCAGAAAAAAAUAAUGCAAAGUCACCAAGUCUAACUCGACGCCCAAAAGGUGUAUAUGAACAUGCAAAGAGUGAUAAGUGUCACAAGUCAGAUCUCGUAUAUGUAAGCAUCAAUGAAUAUGAGAAUCUAUAUUUCAACAGCAUCAAAUGCAUAAAUUUGAAUCUACCAGUAUAAAUAAUUACAAUGAAUUUCAUUAUGCACAGUUCAAAGCUAAGAAAGACGUUUCUUUGACAACGACAGGCAAAGUUUC